rnacentral:rRNA from 1 species
UAGAGUUUGAUCCUGGCUCAGGAUGAACGCUAGCUACAGGCUUAACACAUGCAAGUCGCAGGGUAACAUGAGGAAAGCUUGCUUUCCUUGAUGACGACUGGCGCACGGGUGAGUAACGCGUAUCCAACCUUCCCAUAACUACGGGAUAACCCGUUGAAAGACGGCCUAAUACCGUAUGAUAUCGUUUGCUGACAUCAAAUAACGAUUAAAGGUUUAGCGGUUAUGGAUGGGGAUGCGUCUGAUUAGCUUGUUGGCGGGGUAACGGCCCACCAAGGCGACGAUCAGUAGGGGUUCUGAGAGGAAGGUCCCCCACAUUGGAACUGAGACACGGUCCAAACUCCUACGGGAGGCAGCAGUGAGGAAUAUUGGUCAAUGGGCGAGAGCCUGAACCAGCCAAGUAGCGUGCAGGACGACGGCCCUAUGGGUUGUAAACUGCUUUUAUAUGGGGAUAAAGUGGGGAACGUGUUCCCUUUUGCAGGUACCAUAUGAAUAAGGACCGGCUAAUUCCGUGCCAGCAGCCGCGGUAAAAGGG